CUGUAAACUGAAGUUUAUAUAAUGAAACAAACGAAUAGAUAAAUAAAACUCAAACAUCUAGUCACACUAAGUUGCUGAUAAGUUGUUUGGUGCAUCUGAGGAUGACGAUGUGACAUCUCAACAAGUGUUGUAAGAGAUGGUUGGUCCGAUCCUAACCGCUAUCUAUAUAGUGAGCACCUGAAUAGUAUGAAAGGUAUGGAUUGAGC